rnacentral:snRNA from 1 species
AUUGCUUCUCAGCCUUCUGGCUAAGAUGAAGUGUAGUAUCUGUUCUCAUCAGUUUAAUACUAAUUUGUAGAUCAUUUAAAUGUCUAAUUGCUCCCCUGGAUUUUCCAACAUUU